rnacentral:rRNA from 1 species
GGGGGAUUGGGUUUUCGUGAUUACAGAAUCUUUAAUCAAGCUCUACUAGCCCGGCAGGCGUGGCGGCUUCUCGUCAAUCCGGACAGCCUAUGUGCGAGAGUCUUAAAAGCUAAGUAUUAUCCUAACGGUCGUUUGGAAGACACCGUGUUUGCAGGGAACGCCUCAUCGUCAUGGCAAGCGAUCACGUAUGGGCUU